AGAAAAAUGAGAAAAAUUAAAAUAAAAAAUUGUGAAUAAUGGAGUCAAGAAGAGGAUUGAAUUAGAGGUUUUGGGUGUGAUUUGACUGUGUUUUCACUUAUUCCCCAUUGCUCCUCUAUUUCUUUUGGUUUGUAGCUUCUCAUCCAUAUUUAUCCUCCCUUGUCCUUGGCCCCAUUACAUCCAUAAAAGACCUUUUGAUUUGAACAUGCAUAUAUGUUUUGAGUGUUGACAUUAGAGGCCUGCCAAGUCUGUUUGUGUUUGCUUUCUUGAGUGCAUGGAGUUGAAUUUCUUUACCUUAGACACUUGAGAGAAGCACUAAUAGUGUGCAUCUGUGAGGAUCUGUUAAUUUUGAUUCUUCUCUUGAACUAAUUGAUCAUUUUGCCAUGCUUUGAAUUGCUUGGAUGAUUUCUCUGAGUAUCUGCUUUCUCUGAUUCUGUGUUGGAUAUUGUCUACUUCUUUUCCUUGUCCAGAGUUCUUGAGAACUGUAAUUCUACCUGUUUCUUUCCUUGUUAGUCUUUGUCGUUUGUCUGUUGAGUCUGUGUCAAUUCCCUGAUGUCCGUUGAACUGUUCCCUGUUUUUCGUCUUGGUUUUGCCCAGGAGUGCAAAAGACUAAGUGUGGUCUAUUUUAAUGAAUCAAUAUUUUAUUGACUUCACUUAGUUUAUUGUGCUAGAAUUAAUCAGGGAAUUGUGC
rnacentral:lncRNA from 1 species